rnacentral:rRNA from 1 species
UCUUUCCUCCCGAGUGCUUGCACUCAAUUGGAAAGAGGAGUGGCGGACGGGUGAGUAACACGUGGGUAACCUACCCAUCAGAGGGGGAUAACACUUGGAAACAGGUGCUAAUACCGCAUAACAGUUUAUGCCGCAUGGCAUAAGAGUGAAAGGCGCCUUCGGGUGUCGUUGAUGGAUGGACCCGCGGUGCAUUAGCUAGUUGGUGAGGUAACGGCUCACCAAGGCCACGAUGCAUAGCCGACCUGAGAGGGUGAUCGGCCACACUGGGACUGAGACACGGCCCAGACUCCUACGGGAGGCAGCAGUAGGGAAUCUUCGGCAAUGGACGAAAGUCUGACCGAGCAACGCCGCGUGAGUGAAGAAGGUUUUCGGAUCGUAAAACUCUGUUGUUAGAGAAGAACAAGGACGUUAGUAACUGAACGUCCCCUGACGGUAUCUAACCAGAAAGCCACGGCUAACUACGUGCCAGCAGCCGCGGUAAUACGUAGGUGGCAAGCGUUGUCCGGAUUUAUUGGGCGUAAAGCGAGCGCAGGCGGUUUCUUAAGUCUGAUGUGAAAGCCCCCGGCUCAACCGGGGAGGGUCAUUGGAAACUGGGAGACUUGAGUGCAGAAGAGGAGAGUGGAAUUCCAUGUGUAGCGGUGAAAUGCGUAGAUAUAUGGAGGAACACCAGUGGCGAAGGCGGCU